rnacentral:rRNA from 1 species
CCCCUAGAUGUUCUGGGCCGCACGCGCGCUACACUGAACAGUUCAACAAGUCUUAACCUUGGCCGAUAGGUCUGGGUAAUCUUUGAACGCUGUUCGUGAUUGGGAUAGACCUUUGCAAUUAUGGGUCUUCAACGAGGAAUUCCUAGUAAACGCAAGUCAUCAGCUUGCAUUGAUUACGUCCCUGCCCUUUGUACACACCGCCCGUCGCACCCACCGAUUGAAUGGUCCGGUGAAGCGUUCGGACCGUGGCCUUUGGACGGUUCGCCGUCUGUUGGCUGCGGGAAGUUCGUUAAACCUUAUCAUUUAGAGGAAGGAGAANUCGUANCA